GACGAACGCUGGCGGCGUGCUUAACACAUGCAAGUCGAGCGAUGAAGCUACUUCGGUAGUGAAUUAGCGGCGAACGGGUGAGGAACACGUGAGGAAUCUGCCUUCAACACUGGGAUAACUCCGGGAAACCGGGGCUAAUACCGGAUACGAGCCCUGACCGCAUGGUCGGGGCUGGAAAGUUUUUCGGUUGAAGAUGACCUCGCGGCCUAUCAGCUUGUUGGUGAGGUAAUGGCUCACCAAGGCGACGACGGGUAGCCGGCCUGAGAGGGCGACCGGCCACACUGGGACUGAGACACGGCCCAGACUCCUACGGGAGGCAGCAGUGGGGAAUACUGGGCAAUGGAGGAAACUCUGACCCAGCGACGCCGCGUGCGGGAAGAAGGCCUUCGGGUUGUAAACCGCUUUCAGUAGGGAAGAAGCGAAAGUGACGGUACCUACAGAAGAAGCACCGGCUAACUAUGUGCCAGCCGCCGCGGUAA
rnacentral:rRNA from 1 species